UAUGUCAAGGAGGUUGUUGCAACAAAAUCCAUCUACACCAACCAGAGCUAUCACUCCUGUGCAAACACCUAGCCCUAUGACAAGGAGGUUGCUGGAAUUUGAAGCCUCCAUAGAGCCUGUUACCUGUGCAGCACUAUCUCCUGUAGGCUUCUUGGAGAAGGGAAAGGCAAAGAAGUUGAAGGUUGUCAGGUCUAAGAAAGAGUAGAGAGUGUCAGAUCAGUACCAUGUAUAGUUUUGGUAGCAUCAAGAUGCCAGAUGUGGCUUGAAUCUAUGAUUUCCUUUUGUUGAACCUGUUGAAGGACAGGGGUAUAUAUGUCUUUUAUAAAUGUAUUGAUACCUGUUUGAUGAGAAUAUGUUAUAAUA